rnacentral:misc_RNA from 1 species
ACAACUGGCUUCUGGCCAAGUUACAAGUCAUUUGAUUUGAACCUUCCAGCAGAGAUGGUUAAAUGUGUUGAAGUUUUUAGGGAAUUCUAUCAAACAAAAACAAAACACAGAAAACUUACCUUUAUAUACUCUCUGGGUACUUGUAACCUUAUUGGGAAAUUUGAACCAAAAACCAUGGAACUGAUUGUGACCACCUAUCAGGCUUCUGCACUGUUGCUGUUCAACUCUUCUGAUAGAUUGAGUUAUUCAGAGAUCAUGAUUCAAUUGAACUUGACCGAUGAUGAUGUUGUUAGACUGCUCCAUUCUUUGUCAUGUGCAAAGUAUAAGAUUCUAAGCAAAGAACCAAAUACAAAAUCAAUCUCUCCUACUGAUUACUUUGAAUUCAACUCAAAGUUCACUGACG